AUUGAACGCUGGCGGCAUGCCUUACACAUGCAAGUCGAACGGCAGCAUGGAGAGCUUGCUCUCCGAUGGCGAGUGGCGAACGGGUGAGCAAUGCAUCGGAACGUACCGUGUAAUGGGGGAUAACGUAGCGAAAGUUACGCUAAUACCGCAUACGACCUGAGGGUGAAAGCAGGGGAUCGCAAGACCUUGCGUUAUACGAGCGGCCGAUGCCAGAUUAGCUAGUUGGUGAGGUAAAGGCUCACCAAGGCGACGAUCUGUAGCGGGUCUGAGAGGAUGAUCCGCCACACUGGGACUGAGACACGGCCCAGACUCCUACGGGAGGCAGCAGUGGGGAAUUUUGGACAAUGGGGGCAACCCUGAUCCAGCAAUGCCGCGUGUGUGAAGAAGGCCUUCGGGUUGUAAAGCACUUUUGUCCGGAAAGAAAUGGCUCUGGUUAAUACCUGGGGUCGAUGACGGUACCGGAAGAAUAAGGACCGGCUAACUACGUGCCAGCAGCCGCCGUAA
rnacentral:rRNA from 1 species